GCUAAGAUGUAUUUCACUGGGAAUUUCUAAUAAAUUAUCUCAUCUUACUAAGUACUUAGUACUUUAGUUUAUGUUAGGUGCUAAAGGAAAGGAAUUAAACCAAGUUGAUAGUGUGGUGAGGAAAAAAUAGAAUAAAGAAAAAAAAUGGAUGGGAAAUCUACAAAAAUCACCCAAGAUCCUCAAGUCUUGAUAGGUUAUUGACAUUCAGAAACAUUUUAUAAUAGUAAUGCAAGCAAAAUGUGUAUCCUGUGGAUUCUAUUUAAUAUAUUUGGACUCAUACAUGAGUUCCUUACUAUUUUAUCUAAUGAAGCCCAUUCUUUUUUGAAGCUAGAAGAGUUUUCUGAACUAGUGUAGAGAGGAUUUGUCCUCUCAUUGACUCCUAUAUCUAUUGUCUGAUAUCCUGAAAGUAUAUGGAUGAAAGGUAAGACUUUGAGAGUAGAGUGUGAUUAAAAUCCAUAAUUAAGCAUUUAUUACACAGGAAGCCGUAGUUCAUAUUUUGUAAGUCAGUGCCAUUCUGUAAAGAUUUUCAGAGGGUAUCCCUUUUAAAGAACUCCAUAAAAGAAGAAAAAAACCAUAUAUGCUGAAAGAUGAGAGCAGCUGAACAGUGAACAUUUGAGAAUGUCAGAGAUGGAUGCCCAGUUGACAUGAAUGAUUCGACUGGGCUGUUCCCUAUCCCAGAGAUAGUCCUGUGACAAAAUGAAAGCAGGAAUUUAUAACCAACAGAUAGAUUUAUUGAAAGCCAAAAUGUCAGAGGUAAUCAAACUAUUUAACUUGUGCUCAUAGCUUGCCUUAACACUGAAAAAUGGACACUGAGAAUUUAUCACUUACUGGAAAAUUAAGGAAACAGAAUUUCAUAAAGAGAAAAGCUAAUGGCUACGCUGAGGCUUUCAGUAAAAUACUGAUACAAUUUUUCAUGGUCAUAUUUUAAAUGAAUGAUAACAACUAAUAAAUUCCAUGUAACAUUUUGCUUUGCUUUAAAAUGAUUUCAGUAAAUAUCCAGAAAAGUAUAUAGAGCCAAGCAUUUUAUCAUCUCAUCCAUGUGGUGCCAAAAACAGAAAAGCAACAUGGCUGCAACUCUUAAGGGUUUCUAUUGUAUCUUCUACAACUUGCUUCCUUACUCUUAUGGGGAUCAUCACCCUGAUUUGGAAAUUUAUAGUUUCCUCUCACGAGUAAUAUAUAUGUUUUCUGGAUCUGUCUUGAUUUUGUUGGUAUUGAAAGGGACUUGUAUAACCCAGAUUGGCCUUGUACUAGCAUAGCUAAAAAAUGAUCUUAAACUCCCUUAAUUCCACCCUCUACUUGCCAUUUGUUUGAAUUUUAGGCAUACACUACUAUGCCUAAUUCAUGCUAUGUUAGGGAUCAAAUCCAGGGAUUUGUGCAUGCUAGGCAGCCAUAUUGGAUUACAUCCUCAGAUCAAGAUAUGUAUUUAAUACUUAUAAAAAAAUUAGAAAACCUAUCCAUCUAUCUGUUUACACGUGUCAAUCCAUCCAUACACAUUUAUGUAUGCUUUGAAGUGGGGUUUUGUGACACUCAAUUCUACAGAUGUUUUGAUCUAUUAAAAGCCAGUAAGAUUUACCCAAAAUGCACAGUUAGCAGCUCAACAGAGUUUUAUUUCCUCCGUUAUGUUUGACAACAGUUAAUAUUUUCUCCGUUGUCUUUAAUAAUUUUAAUUGUAAGACUAAUGCACUUCUGUUCUGUUUACUUGCAGUCUUUUGUGUUAGCAAAUUGACUAAGUUAUAAAAGUCAAAAUAGACUUCAAUUUCUUAGUGAGAUUUUAAUUUAUGGUGUUAAAGGGUAAUUCCUCCACACUUUUUUAAAAAAUGUAAUGUUACAUGUUGCUCAGCAAGGAAUUUUUCCUACUAAUAGUCAGUGAAAUCUUAUCUUGUCAAGAAAGCAUGCCUUUUUUAUUUAAAAAAAAAAGUGGGGGGAAGGUUUUUGGUUGUUUUGUUUUGUUUUGUUUUGUUGUUUUUUGUUUUUGUUUCAUUUUCGAGACAGGGUUUACCUGUGCAGUUCUGGCUGUCCUGGAACUCAUUCUGUAGACCAGACUAGCCUCGAACUCAGAAGCCCAUCUGCCUCUGCCUCCCAAGUGCUGGGAUUAAAGGUGUGCACCACCACGCAUAGCAAAAGUUGGGUUUUUAACCAGAACAGGAGAGAUGGCCCCUGCUGUUUAAGUAAGGAUGAUUUAGAGUGUGUGCAGCUCUUGUAGGAGGUCUGAGUGCAGUGUCCAGCACCUGCUUCACGUGGUUCACCAUCUACAACUCCAACAGAAGAGAAUUCAAUUGUUCUAGCUUUAGACAUUAUUGCAUUCAUGUGUGGAUUUGUGUGCAUGAGCACACACACACACACAACACACACAAACUAAAAAUAAUCCUAAACUACAAUGUUUUUUUAAAAUCAUCAUAUAUAUAAUAAAAUUAAAGGUAAUAUAUUUUAUUCUUUUUAUGAUCCAUAAGAGUAAGUAUGUAUAUUAUAAUUUUAGUACUGUAUAUAAGAUAUAUUUCCCAUUUAAUAAAAAUAUUGUAUUUGUUCCUAUUAGUAAUUUUAAAUGACUUCAAUUCUUUAAAAGUUAUGUGCAUGCGGGUAUGUCUGUUUGAGUUUAAGCCUAAUGUAGUCUAAUUACUGAAGGAUGUUCACAUAUCUCAUUUUCAAAAUAGUGUGUUGCAAGUUGUUUUAGUUUUUUUCCUUUCUUCUUCUUCCCCCUUUUGUUCUUUGGAUAUAAUCUCAUCUUUUUUUUUUUUUUUUGGACUGCUCUUAAGCUCUUAAGCUUUCAUUCCUCCUCCAUUCAUCAUCCUAGCACUGAGAUUACAAAUAUGCAAUUGAGAUUACAUUACAUUCUAGAGAUUUAUCCCAGGACUUUAUGUAUGUUACACAAACAUGUUAUACACUGAGCUAGAGCCCAGCCUAAUAUUGCACUUAUUUUAAAAGUAAAUGUUCAAUUUGUUAUACUAUGUAUGCAUAAGGGAUUUGAUAAGUUGGUGUUCUACUUUCAUUCUGAUCCCGAGGUAAAUAUUAUGACCAAAAACAAUUUAGGGAAGAAAAGUGCUUCCUGGCAUACACUUCUAAGUCAUGGUCCAUCAUUAAGGGAAGUCCAGGCAGGACCUCAAGUAGGAACUUACAGUAGGAACUAUGUGAGAACACUCCCUGUUGACUCUUUCAUGGGCUCAUUCUUCCCCAGCCAUUUCUAAAUAAUUAAGCCACUUUACAUGAUCCCUUAAAACUUU
rnacentral:lncRNA from 1 species